CACAAUCGAUUGUCAUUAGUUCACAAUCGAUUGUCAUGAAGGUUUGAAAAACCUGAUGCUCAUUGUCUUACUCACAAUCGAUUGUCAUUAGUUCACAAUAGAUUGUCAUGAAGUCUUGGCUUAAAACAAUCGAUUAUCAUAAGUACAUAAUCGAUUAUCUUAGUCCAGAUUUUUAAGGCAUGUCUAAAAAUUAUUUUGACUACNNN
rnacentral:lncRNA from 1 species